CGCGUAGGUGGUUUGUUAAGUUGGAUGUGAAAUCCCUGAGCUUAACUUAGGAAUUGCAUUCGAUACUGGAAAGCUAGAGUAUGGGAGAGGAUGGUAGAAUUCCAGGUGUAGCGGUGAAAUGCGUAGAGAUCUGGAGGAAUACCGAUGGCGAAGGCAGCCAUCUGGCCUAAUACUGACGCUGAGGUACGAAAGCAUGGGGAGCAAACAGGAUUAGAUACCCUAGUA
rnacentral:rRNA from 1 species